UUUCACCUCAAUUGUCCUUCUCACCCUCCUCAAAUACACACCUCCCGAAUUCCCCAAGAGCAGCCUCCUUUCUAUGUGCUUAUUAUUUUAUGAAGCUGACUCAGAAAGCCGACCCAUUGUGAGCCUGGGCUCAUGAUGCCCAGGCAGGAGCCGGAGUCUGGGAACACUCAGGCCAGGUUGAAUCCUUCACUGCUUCCUUUUGACCUUCCAGAAGUUUUAGCUUUCAGGCUUGAGGAUAAAAGAAGUUCUAAAUGCAGCAUGUAAAGAGCACAAGACAACUGAUCAAAGUGUGUAACUGACAAAAGAAGGUGAAGAUGAGGAGAGCUUCAGGGCAAGAUUAAAAUGAAGUCCUGGGAUUCAUGGAAGCAGGCAAAAAAUAUAUACAAUUUGAUGAAGACUCUGAAAGUGGACGACACAGUAUGAAUAUACAUAAACCGUCAUGAAAGAAAAAGAAAGAAAAAGAGCCCAUGACAUUAGAAAGAAAAUGGGGAAUUCAGUCCAGCCACUGCAAGCAGCUGAGUUCUGCCUUAGCUACGUGAGCCUGGAAGAAGACCCAGGCUCCAGAAAGAAGCACAGCCUGGCUGACAUCUUGACUGCAGCCGUGUGAGAUCCUGACCUGCAGACCCACCUGAGCUGUGCUUGGACUCCUUACACGUGGAAACUGAGAGAGAAUAACACAUGCUGUUUUAAGCCAUUACAUUUGUGGUAAUUUGUUAUAAGACAAUAAAAAAAACUAAUAUAACAGAAGAGACAAUAAUGUCAGCUCUCAGGAUGUAAGAUUUUCCUGCUUUUAGGGCAACAUGAAACAAUACAUAAUUGUAGCUAAUUAAUUUUAACUACUACACGCAAGAUUCAAUGAUAAUACAAUAUAUAGAAAAUGUUAUCCCAUACCAAAAAAGGCCUAAAAUCUAGUACAAAAAAUGGAAAAAAAUACUUUACAUAGAGUAUUUCCAACUCUAUGUGAUGAUGUUGCAAAGAUUUUUGAUAGACUCUAAUUUAAAGAAAGAUUGACCAUGCUUUAGUUUGCACAGAGUCAAUAGCACCUUUUAAUAAAAAGGUAGAUCUGUGACUAUUUGCUCCAGACAUAAAGAAUUGUUUGUAACUUUUACACCUUUGUGAUGAAGGGAAAGUCAAGACUUUUAGUAACAGCUAAUAAAGAACAACUGGGGUUUCCAUCAGCAGGAAUGCAGAAAGAACAGGCUGGCUGAGCUUUCUGGAUAUGGACAAGAAGGCACAGAGCUCUCUGAAAUGGAAAGUCCUGCUUUGGAGAUAAUCAAGUGAAUAGUUCACUGGUCUGCCCUUUCUAGAUAGGGAAACUCCCUGCUGAGGGCUCAUGUCUCUUCCUCACCUGAGAGCCAGGUACAAACUAUCAAUUAGUCCUUUUGAAACACCAUGAGAUUCUUUUGAGACCAGUUAAAAUACUGAACACUUAGAAGCAUGUGAUUUGUUGCUGAAGAAUAAAUCCUUCACCCUUGCCUUCCUGGAUGGCCUGCAGUCUUCGUUGAUCAAUUCUUCACUCUUUCACAUUUUUAUUUAAAGCACCAUUCCUGCUACCAUAAUGAGUGUGGGUUUUGUGGUUGAACUUGACCUUGUAUGAAUGAAAAGAAAUGGUUUCUGGCCUUGGCCCAUUGUGGGGAAACAACAUAAAAGCACACCACACACAGGACAGGCUCAACGUAGCUCAAAUAAAUGCUCAUUACGUAUGUGACUUAUGAAUUGUAUGGAGCAAAGCCCAAACUCACUUGUCAUAUCUCAUAAAAGUGGAAUAUUGACUUGAAUCAAGGUAUCAUCAAGGUGGCAUGCUUAUUUUUCA
rnacentral:lncRNA from 10 species